UACGAAGGGGGCUAGCGUUGCUCGGAAUCACUGGGCGUAAAACGCACGUAGGCGGAUUGUUAAGUCAGGGGUGAAAUCCUGGAGCUCAACUCCAGAACUGCCUUUGAUACUGGCGAUCUUGAGUCCGGGAGAGGUGAGUGGAACUCCGAGUGUAGAGGUGAAAUUCGUAGAUAUUCGGAAGAACACCAGUGGCGAAAGCGGCUCACUGGCCCGGUACUGACGCUGAGGUGCGAAAGCGUGGGGAGCAAACAGG
rnacentral:rRNA from 1 species